rfam:Myotis brandtii contig152956, whole genome shotgun sequence.
CCCGCCACUGCACCUGACCACUUCUCUGUUGGCUGGUGCAUUCCAGUGGUGAGCUGAAAGCAAACCCCAGCUUAGGAAACAGGGUCAUUCUUCAUGUGGGUGACUCUGUGCCGAACAACCAGGAUAAAAAA